rnacentral:rRNA from 1 species
UGUUGGUCUUUACUUGAAUUGAUAAAUCGUUUAGAUCCGUGUUGUUUUUUUAGCUAAGUUUUGAUUUUACAUGUAGAUUAAAGUGCGAAAUUUUUUAA